rnacentral:rRNA from 1 species
UACGUAGGGUGCAAGCGUUGUCCGGAAUUAUUGGGCGCAAAGAGCUCGUAGGUGGCCUGUCGCGUCGGCUGUGAAAACUCGGGGCUCAACUCCGAGCUUGCAGUCGAUACGGGCAGGCUAGAGUUCGGCAGGGGAGACUGGAAUUCCUGGUGUAGCGGUGAAAUGCGCAGAUAUCAGGAGGAACACCGGUGGCGAAGGCGGGUCUCUGGGCCGAUACUGACACUGAGGAGCGAAAGCGUGGGGAGCGAACAGG